CUUCAAACUUCACGAAGUCUUGCUGUUCCACCGACCAAGCUGUGUUUUCUUCAAACUCUUCGCACAUGCAAUAGUUGAUCUGGGUUGAGCUUCAUCUCGCUUCACAAUGGGAUCUGGGUUUGAUUCCUCGCAUUAUGAUCUGGGUUUGCCAUUGCCUCUGGGUCUGGUUUCGCCUUCACCUCUGGGUCUGAGUUCGCCUUUGCCUCGGCUGCAUGUCCAACAAUCGCCUCUGGAUUCGACAGACGAUAGUUCUCAUGGGUCACUUUUCAUCUCUGUGUAUUUUGAUUCUAUGAAAUGUAAACAAAUGAGACAUUUUUAGGUUUCCAUGACCCUUCCCUCGUUUCCUCCAAAGAUAUUGAAAAUCACAAAUAAAAAAGAGAGCAGAGGUGCAUACAGAUUAUGCAGUAUCAGUACCUUGAUAAGCAUUGGAGGUAGGAGCGUCUAAAUGAGUGAGGCAUCAAAACACCAAGACUGAGAUGAGUGAGAUCCAUCACAGCAGGUCAAAGAUUUCAUGCUGAUGAGAACAGAAACCUAAUCGUGGAAUUGGUCAUCGUGGAAUUUUCAUUCAUUACUUUUUAGAAAACUUUUGCUUUCUACUAAAGCAAGCAAAUUAAAGGGUUAAUUAUUUUGACAA